rnacentral:rRNA from 1 species
GAUGAACGCUGGCGGCGUGCCUAAUACAUGCAAGUCGAGCGAACAGACGAGGAGCUUGCUCCUCUGACGUUAGCGGCGGACGGGUGAGUAACACGUGGAUAACCUACCUAUAAGACUGGGAUAACUUCGGGAAACCGGAGCUAAUACCGGAUAAUAUAUUGAACCGCAUGGUUUAAUAGUGAAAGACGGUUUUGCUGUCACUUAUAGAUGGAUCCGCGCCGCAUUAGCUAGUUGGUAAGGUAACGGCUUACCAAGGCAACGAUGCGUAGCCGACCUGAGAGGGUGAUCGGCCACACUGGAACUGAGACACGGUCCAGACUCCUACGGGAGGCAGCAGUAGGGAAUCUUCCGCAAUGGGCGAAAGCUUGACGGGGCAACGCCGCGUGAGUGAUGAAGGUCUUCGGAUCGUAAAACUCUGUUAUUAGGGAAGAACAAAUGUGUAAGUAACUAUGCACGUCUUGACGGUACCUAAUCAGAAAGCCACGGCUAACUACGUG